rnacentral:lncRNA from 1 species
AACAACCCUGUAAUGAUAAUAAUAGUUAACACUUACAUUGUGCUAAUUAAAUGCCAGCCACUAUUCUAAAUUCUUCAUACAUAUUAACUCUUUUAACCCUCCAGAACCCUAUGAAAUAAGGAUAAUUAUUGUCUCCAUUUAAUAGAUGAAGAAACUGUUGGAGGCAUAUGGAAGUCACACUGCUGUUAGGAGGCAAAGCUGACUCCUGCUAGAUGCUAGUGAGCACUAUCCUUUUUCUCCACUCACUGUGUUUAACGCAGCAGGAAGUAGAAGGUAGCGACAUUAAUGUGAACAAGGUUACCCUCUGCAUGAACGCGGAAACCUAAGGCUGUGUUCCGAGACACUGUUAAAUGACACAGCCAGGGUAUGAGCUACGAGUAGCCUGACUCUGAGAGCACUCUCAGUGCACCAACAGCACAUGUAGGAGAAAGCUGGUCCCUGCAAACAUUUGGGAUCGGCCUAAGAGAGGCCGUCCAGGGCUCCUGAGAGAGUAGGCGCUGCUUAGUCUUAGCACUAUUCUCCAGGAAAGAAAGGGGGACAAACCCCUGGAAAACAUGAGUUCCCCUUCAACCCUCCUGAAAUCAUGUUGCUUUGGUUGCAGAAGGAGAAAUGUGCUGGCAUAGCCCCAUGUUCUGUCCCUGAGUAUGCCUGACAGCCUGCCCAACGACCAGAGCAAAGUCCUUGAGGAAGCUUCCUGCAUUACUGCCCAAGCCAGCUCCUGAAGACAUCUUCUCAGGGAAUGGAGGAAGCUGGUGCCAGAGUGGAAGACCGGACAGAACAAGAAUUCAUAAACGUCAUAAACUUGAAGAGGAGGAAAAGGUUGGAGCUAAUUCCUGACAUCAGUGAAUGGGCCCAUAAAGGAAGAAAGACGAAGUUUGCCGCAGGCAGGCAAGGUUGAAUCCUUGACUGGAGUGCGAGAGUGGGUGCUUUCCCAGCCAGCCCUCCGCUAACGACCGCUGAAUGUCCCGCCCGAGCCGGCGCCGAGAGCCUGGUGCCCACACAGCGCCCGGCGCCCGUCUGGAGAUAGCCCUCAGCGGUGGGCAGCAGGAGGCUCCCCAAAACUGCGCCUUUUAGCAGCCAGUACUUAGCGGAUGGAGAGACAGCGCCAAGAGCCCACAAAGUAGACUCGGCCAGGGGCGGGGACCCCCACCGGAGCCUGCUCCCUCAGGCCUCAGGUUCGAAGCUGCUCUAGUGUGGGAGGGGAGGUUAGUUAGGAUUUGAGCGAUGGCACUUGAGCUAGGGAAGGAGUUCCUGAAACUCCCAGGGAAGUGUAGUCCCAGAGAUGGGGAAAUAACCAAGCCCACGGAAGGACUUUCCAAACUUGGUCUUUAACUUUGUGUCAUUUUUCCUGCCCGCCUCGACUCCGACUCCCAGCACUCUAACCCCAAACCCUAGGAAACAGCCCUAAGGACUAGAGUCCAGCCCUCUCAGCCCUUCCUCUCCACCCACCCCCUCCCCCCACGUUUCUAGACAGGGAAAAUACAAAUAACCCCCGGGUGGUUAAUGCAUGCAGGCGCAUCCAGGCGCCCCAUUCCCAAACACACACAAGGCGAUCACCACCCGCUGC